rnacentral:rRNA from 1 species
UACGUAGGUGGCGAGCGUUAUCCGGAAUUAUUGGGCGUAAAGAGCGCGCAGGUGGUUGAUUAAGUCUGAUGUGAAAGCCCGGGGCUCAACCGCGGGACUGCAUCGGAUACUGUAGAUCUGGAGUGCCGGAGGGGCAAGCGGAAUUCCUGGUGUAGCGGCGAAAUGCGUAGAUAUCAGGAGGAACACCGGCGGCGAAGGCGGCUUGCUGGACGGCAACUGACGUUGAGGCUCGAGAGCGUGGGGAGCAAACAGGAUUAGA